UGGUGCUCGUGGGGCUGGCUGGAGCACAAAGCCUGCCCUUGCGUUUGGUCUGUGGGUGGAAGUUGAGGCUGAAAAAACAAACUGACGUGUCAAGUGUGGAGUGUAUGGUGUGAGUCAGCACAUGCUGACCUCUGCUCCCUCCUCUGUAGCUGCCACGUCUUCCCCGCGUAUUUGGGACGCUCGUUAUAGUCUUUCCUGGUCCAUGGUCCCUGCGCCCCAAAAAGAGCCGUCUGUGAUCCUCUGAGCCCAUGCCUGGUGCGUGUGGGCAUCGAGCAAGAAGGACCUUGUAGCAGGGGGGCUUGAUGCCUCGUGGGGUGACGUAUUCGGAGCGUUCCUGGGUGAUGGAGCAGGAUCUUUUUCGGAAGACAGAUCCCGUGCUAUCCUAGCAGUUGCACCCCAUGACAUACCUGGGCUGAUCCUCUGUGCCAAGUUCUUCCCAGUCGCUGGCACAACAUGUUUGUUGGAUUCCAGGCACGAGGUUUCAGAAUGUGAGAAGAUUUGAGGAAAGAUUUAUCCUGGCUGAUUGGAAGCAGGGGAAAGUUUUCCAGUCCCACGUUUCCCCACCGCCGUCAGAGCCUGCUUGAGAGGUACCUCACCAUCACCGUGCUGCUGAAGAUCGUCUCUUGUGCUGUGCGUAAAUGGGAAAAACGUUGGCCUCGGGUGACAGCCCUGUGACCCUGGUCUGGGAACAGCAAAUGUCUUCAGCCAUCCUGGUCUGUCCCGUUGACACCAGAAGAAUGAGAGGGAGGGAAACCUCACAGGCAGAAGACCCUCCUGCCUGCUUGCUGCCUCUUUACUGGCUCCAGGAAGCGAGAGCAGGGUUUUUGCAAAGGAAGGAAAGUAAAACCCAAGAUAAAUCUAUCACUAAUGGUGAAUCCUCUGAGAAAGCCAAACACCACUCCAGGAGCUGCAGUGGCAGUGAGAUUUGGGGAGUGUCUCCCAGCUGCAGGCUCAGGAGCACCCUCAGCUCCAGCGUUACCGCAUCCUGCCCGCACACGGCGUCUCCAAAUUGGCCAGAUACCGACUGCUGUGGAUGUGUGAGCAGCCAGGUCCUACCCACGCUGCAGGCUUCCCCCAGCUGCACCCAGGGCUUUGCUUCUGCCUUUCUCAUCUGCAUCUUCCAGUCCCCGAGCCCCGUCCCGGCAUCCAGACCGCCACACUCCAGGGUGGCUGCCAAAAGGGAUAGAGAACAGAAGUAAAAAGGUAGUCUGGCUCAUCACAAACUGUAAGUAGCCAAGCCACCACCUGCGGCGGAUCACGGGCUUGUAUUAGAUCCAUCUCCAUGGAGAUUAAACCCUGCUGCCACUCCAGAGGAUCAGCGGGAGAGCUCUGCUGACGGCGGGGCGCACGAGGAUAAGAGGAAGUUUUGCUCGUGCUGCCUGCCAAGUCUAAUCGGGAUCUUUCCUCACCAGCUUCUAUCUGUUGGCGUCUCUCCGGGAGCAGACAGACCUGUUCUUCCUCCUGUGCCCCAGGGAGCAAGAAACAUUUCACGAGUCUCCUACGCUGAUUUUUAGAGAGUAAAGCAAACCUGUGACAGUGAGUUCCAGUUCCCUGGAGAGGAGGAGGUGUUGGGAGCAGCUCGGUGCCCACCUGGAGCUCACAGAAGCACCGCUUGGCUUGGUUGUCUGCGCCCGAAGCAGCAGGAUGCAGCCACCCUCGCAUCUCUAGUCCAGCCUGGUGGUCCCUCCCCCGUGUUUCUACCUUGCAUGGUUUUCUCUGCUCUUUCCCUAGCCACGACAGCAGAGGAUUUCCCUUGUAUUUUGCCUGGUGAACUUGCCUGGGGCUGCAGCAGGUUUUCCAGCUGCAAAACACAAUAAAUUACGGGCGAGCGAGGCUGCCUCCCAGCCGCACGGAGAGGGCUCUAAAUCCGGGAUCACUUAGCUGUUGCACGGUAGCUCCAGUAGAAGUGAUAUGUGGAUUAAAUUUCCAGGAACUGGUGGGGCCCGACUCAGUUUUGAGCCACCAAUUCACCCUAUUAAAAAUAA